rnacentral:rRNA from 1 species
UCGAGAAUUUUUCUCAAUGGGGGAAACCCUGAAGGAGCGACGCCGCGUGGAGGAUGAAGGUCUUCGGAUUGUAAACUCCUGUCAUUUGGGAACAAUUGCUUCACGUUAACUGCGUGGGGCUUGAUAGUACCAGAAGAGGAAGGGACGGCUAACUCUGUGCCAGCAGCCGCGGUAAUACAGAGGUCCCAAGCGUUGUUCGGAUUCAUUGGGCGUAAAGGGUGCGUAGGCGGCGAGGCAAGUCGGAUGUGAAAUCCCGGGGCUCAACCCUGGAACUGCAUUCGAUACUGCCUUGCUAGAGUACUGGAGAGGGAACUGGAAUUUACGGUGUAGCAGUGAAAUGCGUAGAUAUCGUAAGGAAGACCAGUGGCGAAGGCGAGUUCCUGGACAGUUACUGACGCUGAGGCACGAAGGCUAGGGGAGCAAACGGG